GCUGCGUCUUUCUGCCCUGCUUAGACUACUGACACUGACGCAAUCUCCGCGCUUUUCCCCAACGCCACCGCGCAGCCCCCGCGUCGCUCUAACCUGCCCCACGGCGGCGGGCUCUGAGAAGGCUGAACUCACGCACACGGCGCCCCCUACGCGCCUCCCGUGUCCAGCCGUCCGCAAACGGAAAACCACAUAUCCCCUUCUCCUUAGACAAUGCCGACGCCACGGAGCAGAGGGAAGGAACAGAGCCGUCGUGUUUAGAAUUCCGGGAGGUGAACACAAAACCGUGAACCCCUGACUGGAAGUAGUCACCGAAGGCCUGUUUGGACAGCAGUCUGCCAGCCUAAAGCAGGUUUGGUUCUCGCGUGGCCGCGGUCUUCGAUAAGCUACCUGCAUGGAGUCGUGUAGAGAGACACGGACAGAGCCAGAAGGAAGGCGGCUCUGAGCCGCUCCACAGGGCUCUUCCACUUAAUGUGUUAUUUUUAACAGUAGUGAUAACGAAAGGACAGCAAGGACAAAAUCGGAUGCGUAAUAACUGACUGGACUGCCUGUCUAAACAACGCCAAAGUGUUUCCAGGUAGAAGCGCCAACAAAACCACAGAUAAAAGUGUAAAAACAUGACCAGAACCUCCACAUGCUUCAUGUGAACCCACCUAUACAGUAAAAAUUGCACUUACAAAAUAAUGACUAAUAACACUAAUGAUAGGAAAUAUAACCAUUUUAUCCUUUUAAAUAUACACAUUCUGAAGAAAUUACAAGCUGCCUCCUCCAUAGUCUGAGCGCCCGUUUAUACGAUUUUAUUUUAUUUUUUGGUUGCUUAAAAAGAAAGGAAGACCAUCUAGAGAAAGCAAGGGAUAGAGAUGGAGAGAGGGAGGGACUCUGACUGAGCGAAAGAAUACGGGAGGACGGAGGAAAUGGAUGAGAAGAGGAAAGUGUUUCAUAGCUGCUUUUUGAACUGAGGGGGUGAGGUACGGGCGUCACGACCCAGGUGCCCGUGACGGCCGACGCUGGAAGACGGGCUUCAGAACGGUGCAGCCGGCGAGCGGAGCCCUACCCACGUCUCACUCAUCACGUUUAACUCCACAAGCAGACGGCAGGCAUUAGCGUAGCCCCCCGUGUGAGGGCGGCCGGCGAACAGCCCAUCGCCCACCAUCCCAGCUCCUUUCAGUCCCUCCCUCCGCUACGUCCAAACUGGUGCUAGAGGCAGCAGCAGUUCGAGCGCCCAGGGGAGAUGACGGAGGUGCGAGUCCAAACGCACGCUGUGGCCAGGCAGGAAUCCCACGGCACGGCUCACCCAUGCCAGACGCCCGCGCUGCAGGUGGACUGUAAACGCUGAGAUUUCCGGAAGAACUCAAAUUUUGAACCGCCACAUGUGCGGAACAGGAAAUGACACGUGAGAGAUGUGCAUCCAGCACUCCACUUCGUGUAGGAUUCAAAUCGUUUAUUUAAUGCAUAUAUUCAUGCAUUUACCCUCAAGUUCCAUACAUAUUGUACUUCCAAUGAAAAUAAACAGGAUGCUUGUACAAAAAUCAAGUUUGAUCAGCAUCACAUAACUUAAUUUCAGGGGGGAAAUCAUCUCUCAUCAACAGCACAGUUCUCAUUGCGUAAGUGUAUUAUGCGUAAUUCCCAAGUCCCACAUGUAGAGAUCCAAGUGUUUCUUAAAUAAGCAAUGCAAAGUCCCAGAAGCUGCAGGUCAGAGAGCUUUUCCUUCUUCUGUCCCGCCAGCCCAUGGGGAAUUUGUGUGUUUCCCAGCCUAACAGCCUCUUGUGUGGCGUAGCAGCCCAUGCACGCGGUGGCUCCAAUUCCUCAGCAGGUUUUUUAGGUGUUGUUACCUCUGGCCAUUACUCAGCAAGCAUUGGGCCAGGGUGAGGUGGACGUCACAGAGCUCAAACGUAACGCCUUUACACAUUCACGGGUAAAGCAAGAACAAUUUCCCUUAAACAGG